rnacentral:lncRNA from 1 species
UAUGAAAAAAUUGGGGUACUGGGUCCCAAGAGAGUUUAUAACCUUACCAAUUAAAAAGGCACAACAAUAAUCGAACCCUCAACACGACGAUGCCAAUUAAAGGCAUGACAAAAUAAUUAAAAAUAUGAAUUCAACUCUAUAUAUUGAGUUCUCAUGGCUUGUUCGAUAAUGAUUAUGAAAAUUAAUUUUUUGACCUUUAUAGAGAAGUAAAUCCCACCUAUGACUCAAAAAAGUAAAAAUUGAUGAUUAAAAUAGUAAAAUAACAAUCAAAAAAUUCAUUUUUUGAGGUGAAAAAUUACUAUCAAACUAGAGUUUAGCCUAUUUCCGCUUGCGACAAUGGAGGUCAAAUUACCCGUAAUCUCCCCAUUUUGUGACUCAAUGUUACUAUGUACGGGAGUUUAAUUUUCAUGAAUUUGACGCCGACGAACAUUUCCAAAACUCAGAUUCUAUCGCAUUGCUCAACCGCCAAGGUAUUGAUUUCUCAAAGAAAAAGCAAACUCGAAUCCGUUCACCGCACUGUUUAUUGUGUCUUGACUUUUAAUUGCCCCUGCAUAAAGGUUACAUGGACAAUAAUAAAUUAGAAGUUAGUUGUCAGCCUUUCUUCAUACUUGAUUUUUGACGAAAUCUCGAUAUUAGUCAACUACAAUUUACAUUUUCAAGUAAAAUCAACUAUUCAUAAUACGAUUACAAUUUAUAAUACUAUUUUUUGUAAUACCAAUUACACAUUUACAAAUCAAUUAAAUUAUC